AAUUAUUCCAUGUUAUUUAUUUAUAAUUAAUCAAUCGUUAUAAUUAAUCUAAAAGAAUUAAUCAGAAAUCGGCGCGCUUUUCCCGACGUCACGUCUUACCGCGCUUUCAGAAUUCAAAAACUAACAGACAAACAACUUAACGGUGAAGUGGCUGUUUGCUUUCUUCGUAUAUAUAAUUUAUGUUUAUAUAGGCCUAGAUGUUUCAUGAAAUAGGACACAUUAAGUUUAAAAAAUCUAGUGAAAGUAACAGAAGUACGUGAAACGGAGAUGUUUUGGAUGAGGACCUGCCUCUGCGAAACUGAAGCUUUGUGCAGCUUCCUGUAAGUGGCGAUCUCAAUGUCCAUCGCCAACUUGACGUUCAUUAGCUCCUGGUACUCACGGAGUUGCCGAGCCAUGUCCUGCUUGGCUCUCUGUAGCGCCUCCUCCAAGUCCUUAAUACGACAUUUGGCCUCCUUCACAGUCAUCUCGCCACGAUCCUCAGCCUCCGCCAUCUGGUUCUCCAGACGGCUGAUCAUGCGAUUGAUAUCUGCAAUCUCUCCUUUAGUGUUUCGCAGUUCAUCGUUGUACUGACUGGCCUGAGAGGACAUCUGAUCAAACUGACCAAAACGAGAUGGAAAAAGAAAAAAGCUCAGUACGUCAGAUACAA